AAUGGAAUUGUUGGGUCAUAUGGUAACUCUAAGAUUAGCUGUUUGAGAAAUUGACAAACUAUUUGGUAUAGCAGCUGUACCAUUUUACAUUCCCACUAGCAAU
rnacentral:pre_miRNA from 1 species